AUACGUAGGGGGCGAGCGUUGUCCGGAAUGAUUGGGCGUAAAGGGCGCGUAGGCGGCCCGGUAAGUCUGGAGUGAAAGUCCUGUUUUUAAGAUGGGAAUUGCUUUGGAUACUGUCGGGCUUGAGUGCAGGAGAGGUAAGUGGAAUUCCCAGUGUAGCGGUGAAAUGCGUAGAGAUUGGGAGGAACACCAGUGGCGAAGGCGACUUACUGGACUGCAACUGACGCUGAGGCGCGAAAGUGUGGGGAGCAAACAGGAUUAGAUACCCUGGUAGUCCACACUGUAAACGAUGAAUGCUAGGUGUAGGGGGUAUCGACCCUUUCUGUGCCGCAGUCAACACAAUAAGCAUUCCGCCUGGGGAGUACGGCCGCAAGGUUGAAACUCAAAUGAAUUGACGGGG
rnacentral:rRNA from 1 species